rnacentral:rRNA from 1 species
AGGGUUCGAUUCUGGCUCAGGAUGAACGCUGGCGGCGUGCCUAACACAUGCAAGUCGAACGGGACUGUUUAGUGAUGAUUUCGGUCUGGAACUUUACAGUUUAGUGGCGGACGGGUGAGUAACGCGUGGAUAACCUGCCUUUCACAGGGGGAUAGCAGCUGGAAACGGCUGGUAAUACCGCAUACGCUCUUUACACCGCAUGGUGCAGAGAGGAAAGAUUUAUCGGUGAAAAGAUGGAUCCGCGUCUGAUUAGCCAGUUGGCGGGGUAACGGCCCACCAAAGCGACGAUCAGUAGCCGGCCUGAGAGGGCGGACGGCCACAUUGGGACUGAGACACGGCCCAGACCCCUACGGGAGGCAGCAGUGGGGGAUAUUGCACAAUGGGCGCAAGCCUGAUGCAGCCGACGCCGCGUGAGUGAAGAAGUAUUUCGGUAUGUAAAGCUCUAUCAGCAGGGAAGAAAGGCCCUUUUAGGGAGAUGACGGUACCUGACUAAGAAGCCCCGGCUAACUACGUGCCAGCCGCCGC